rnacentral:rRNA from 1 species
CCUACGGGUGGCAGCAGUGGGGAAUAUUGGACAAUGGGCGGAAGCCUGAUCCAGCCAUGCCGCGUGUGUGAAGAAGGCCUUCGGGUUGUAAAGCACUUUCAGUGGGGAAGAAAGCCUUGGGGCUAAUACCCUCGAGGAAGGACAUCACCCACAGAAGAAGCACCGGCUAACUCCGUGCCAGCAGCCGCGGUAAUACGGAGGGUGCGAGCGUUAAUCGGAAUUACUGGGCGUAAAGCGCGCGUAGGCGGUCUGAUAAGCCGGUUGUGAAAGCCCCGGGCUCAACCUGGGAACGGCAUCCGGAACUGUCAGGCUAGAGUGCAGGAGAGGAAGGUAGAAUUCCCGGUGUAGCGGUGAAAUGCGUAGAGAUCGGGAGGAAUACCAGUGGCGAAGGCGGCCUUCUGGACUGACACUGACGCUGAGGUGCGAAAGCGUGGGUAGCAAACAGGAUUAGAUACCCGAGUAGUC